CAAGCCAGUGGCGGGGCUGACGGUCCGCUGGUGUCACGGUGUCAAUUCAGGGGGGAGGAAGAGGUGGCGGCAAGGUCGCAGUCCGCGACUCGGCACUGCCCCCGCCCAGCUUCCCGCGGGGCUUUCUCUGCCUGUCCAGCAACCAGUGCUGCCCGCAGCACUCGGCAUCUGCCUGCCCGCCUGCCCGCCCGGGCACGUUGCAGCCGCGCACAGGGGCCACCGCCGCGUGCAGAAAGCGUCCAGGGCCAGGCCUCCGGACACGCGCGGAGGCGGCGAGCGAGGGGCGGUUCCUAUGCGGCACAUGUGUGGCGGCGCGGUCCCCAGGCCCAGGUGAGAGCGGUAUGGGGCAGGCGGGCUGCAAGAGGCUCUCCCAGUCGCUGUUCGACUACAAGACCGAGAAGUAUGUUAUCGCCAAGAACAAGAAAGUGGGCCUGCUCUACCGGCUGCUGCAGGUCUCCAUCCUGACCUACCUGGUGGUUUGGGUGUUCCUGGUGAAGAAGGGUUACCAAGACAUCGACACCUCCCUACAGAGCAGCGUCAUCACCAAAGUCAAGGGUGUGACCUUCACCAACACCUCGGAGCUCGGGGAGCGGCUCUGGGAUGUUGCCGACUACGUCAUCCCACCCCAGGGAGAGAACAUCUUCUUCAUCAUCACCAACCUGAUCGUGACCCCUAACCAGCGACAGGAAACCUGUGCUGAGAGUGAAAGCAUUCCUAAUGCUGUGUGCUAUGAAGACAGCGACUGCCCUCCUGGGGAGCCUAUUAUGGCUGGAAAUGGAGUGAGGACAGGCCGCUGCCUGCAGUCAGGGAACACGCAAAGGGGCACGUGCGAGAUCUUCGCCUGGUGCCCAGUGGAGACGAAGUCCAGGCCAGAGAAACCACUCCUGGGCAAAGCUGAAGACUUUACCAUUUACAUAAAGAACUUCAUUCAUUUCCCCAAAUUCAACUUCUCCAAGACCAAUGUGCUGGACACCAAAGACAGAGAUUUCCUGAAGUCUUGUCGAUUUGACCCCAAGAACCCCUACUGCCCCAUCUUCCGACUGGGCUCUGUGGUCAGCUGGACCGGGAGCAACUUCCAGGAGAUAGCCCUGCAGGGUGGUGUGAUAGGAAUUCAGAUUGAGUGGAACUGUGAUCUUGAUAAAGCUCCUUCGGAAUGCAACCCACGCUAUUAUUUUAGCCGUCUGGACAGCAGAUUUCCAGGAAACUCUGUUUCUUCUGGGUACAACUUCAGGUUUGCCAAAUAUUACCGAGAUGAAGCGGGGGUGGAGUUCCGCACGCUGAUGAAAGCCUACGGGAUCCGCUUUGAUGUCAUGGUGAAUGGCAGGGCUGGGAAGUUCAGUAUCAUCCCCACAAUCAUCAACGUGGCCUCAGGGGUGGCGCUCAUGGGUGUUGACAUGUCACUCUGUGUCAUAAUUUCUAUGCUCGUCUCCGGCACCAGAGGGAGAGUCCCCAGAGGGUCUCAUUGUCUGGCACGUGGGGUCUUUCUUCUGUGAUCUGGUGCUCAUCUACUUCAUCAAAAAGAGCAACUUUUACCGGAACAAGAAGUAUGAGGAAGCAAGGUCUGGCCACGCGGGGAAUGGAAAGGUGAGUGUGGAGCAGCUGCAGGACCUGCAGACGGUGGAGGCAUAGCCAGAGGCGUUGGCUGAAAGCAGAUCUGGUGACGAUGUUGGGGGCAGAACCGCCUGCAGCUCUGGACUGGGAAGCCAUCCUUAUACCUGCAUAGGACAGGUGCUUCCAGGCAUGGCCGUCUCUUCUGCGUUUUGGGAUCUUUCUACAAGCUUUUUGUUGUGUGUGGGGGGAGGGGAACCUCCCAGUGGCCAGAGUGGCUCAGCUCUAGAAGAGGAGACCCUGGAGAGGGAAGGGGGCAGGCCAGGGGCCUGAGGGAUCCUAGUGUUUUCAUGUUUUUCUGAGAACCUAGUUGGACUUUCAUUCAUUCAUUCAUGCAGUAAACAUUUUUUUUGCUGUGGGCUGGGUCCUAUCUAAGAGAUGCUUAAAUAAGACACUGACCUGGUCCUCAGGGAGGAGAGCACACAUGCAAUUCCCUCCAGAGCCAACAGACAUCACAGCCAGGCUCAGCCACUCUAGUCUUCCUCCGGCAUCUACCUAAGACUUGCACAAAUCCCUGCCGAGAAUGAUGGCUCCUCAAAGAAAGAACUUGGCCGACAUCCAAGGGGACAUUUUGGACUCACCCCUAGGGAUUCAAUUUAAAGGUGGCUAAGGAGGCAACCAGGGGAGGGCUGUACCUGUCAGGAGGCAGCUGGCCCUUGAGGGGAGAGGCAGCCUCCUAGGGCUUCUGGGAAAGGCGGGUAAGAGGAGGCAGGGAGGCUCUGCUCCAGUCUGACUCACCCACCUCGGGAGGCUCUGGGCAUAGCGUCUCAUCCAGAUGGGGGACCAUGGCCUGUGGUUUGGCUCUGGCAGCUCUGUGGGCUUGGGUGUCCCUGCCCAGCUUCCCUCUCUCCUCAAAGGCUAGAGCUGAAGCGCCAAGGCGAUGAGUCUCACUCAGCAGGUAGAAGCAGGGUCGUUAGGCCCAAACUGUUAGGGAGUCCCUCACCCCCUCCCCCAUCUUUCUCCACUCUCCCUGGAGGACUCCACUGCUUCCCUCCCUUAGCGGCUGGAGAGCCUUGCGGCUCCACAGGUGGUCCGUGAAUCACAGCAUCUGCAUCACUUGGGAACUUGUUAGAUGUGCCGUCUUGGCCCCUCCCUUGUUCUCCGAAAUCAGAGCCUGAGUUUCAACAAGACUCCCAGGUGAUGGUUCACGUUUGAGAAACACCGGUUGAGGGGAUCAGCAAAGCUGGUUCUGAGGGAGGUAAAGGCCACCUUUGGUGGGUGCUGCCAAUUUCUAGGUCAGACUUACCUUCUACCUUGAGACUGAGAGGAUGCCCCUCCCCCACCUCCCACCCCCGCCCCAGGGAAAAGAGCAUCACACUCAGUUUAUUGAAAUGAAAAUAUUUUGACUAGAUAAUAUUUAUAUGAUUCAAAAUUUAAAAGGUACAAAAGAAUAGACAGUGAAGAGCUCCCCUCCCACUCCUGUUCCCCAAGGCAGCCUGUUACUGAUUCCAAAACAACUUCUUGUGUUUUGCUGAGAAUCCACUUAGUUACUCACUCUCUCAGGAAAUCAACUUUUCCCAGUGCCUGCAUCGUCAGACCAAGUCUCUGCCAGAAAGGGACACGAUGGAAUAGGCUUAAAGCCUGGGUUGGGGGCCUAUUAGCCCGCUUCUCCCUCUCCCAGUGUCUGAGGAAUCCCUGCGUAAACCCAAGGGGACAGAUCUAGAAGUCACUGUGUGAGCCUCCCAGGCAGCAAAGGCCUAGCAAGCCCCAGUGCUGUUUGCAUAGCUGCCGGGUCACGCUAGGGAGUGUCCUCUUUGGAAGGCUCUUUGGGCCUCCUUUAAGUCAGAGGAGCCUGGUUCUCCACUGCGUACAGAGGAGCUAAGCAUCCUUGCCCUGGAGCUUUUGGAGAAGGUGUGGGGACAGAGGCCCAGAGAGCAGUUUCCAGGCUCUCGGCCUCACGUGGAAAGG